rnacentral:rRNA from 1 species
AUUGAACGCUGGCGGCAGGCUUAACACAUGCAAGUCGAGCGAGCGGCGGACGGGUGAGUAAUGUCUGGGAAACUGCCUGAUGGAGGGGGAUAACUACUGGAAACGGUAGCUAAUACCGCAUACCAUCAGAUGUGCCCAGAUGGGAUUAGCUAGGAGGUGGGGUAAUGGCUCACCGAGGAGAAGAUCCCAAGCUGGUCUGAGAGGAUGACCAGCCACAAGUGAGAAGAGACGACGUCCAGACUCCUACGGGAAGGAGCAGUGGGGAAUAUUGCACAAUGGGCGCAAGCCUGAUGCAGCCAUGCCGCGGGGGUGAAGAAGGCCUCGGAGUAUAAAGCACUGGCAGCGGGGAGGCGUUGCUCGCAAAAGAAGCACCAGGUAACUCCGGGCGAGCAACCGCGGUAAUAC